rnacentral:rRNA from 1 species
ACGUAGGUGGCGAGCGUUAUCCGGAUUCAUUGGGCGUAAAGAGCUUGUAGGCGGCGUCAUAAGUUGGACGUGAAAACUCCGGGCUUAACUUGGAGAGGCCGUUCAAUACUGUGAGGCUAGAGGGUGUCAGAGGGAAGUAGAAUUCCUGGUGUAGCAGUGAAAUGCGUAGAUAUCAGGAGGAAUACCCGUGGCGAAGGCGGCUUCCUGGGGCACCACUGACGCUGAGAAGCGAAAGCUAGGGGAGCAAACGGGA